GUUGGUUUCAACACAUCAAUUUUGAGAGGACACCAACAUUCAGUCCAUAACAGAUGCCUAAUAAGAACCAGAUAUAUUACACCUGGAUCAGCAAAGCUCUGAUCUAUAACCUACUAAAGUCUUGUGGUCUGCGCAGUCGCCUUGAUGCCUAGCUCGCCUGCCUGGAGGAGGAAAGGUCCCUAAGUAUGCGGCUGCCUUCUUGCCCCAGAAUCCUCCAUCCAGUCUGGAGCCACAAUUUGCCAGGCGGGAGUUGCUGGCCGGGGCCAUGAAGACAGAGGUGACAAAAAUUCAUGGAUGGAGUUGGUAUUUGAGGACUGUGAUCAGCUGCCAGAAUUAUAACACUCAACUAACUCAUACUGUGUUAUGUCCGGAGACCUAGGAAAAGCUGUCUAUUCCUGCUCCUCAUUGUGGCUGGAGAUGCUGAGAUCCCUCUGAAGCUCAGGAGGACGAAGUCUCGCUUUGCUCACGUGGGUGGCUGCUCCCCGUGCGAUCACGCAAGCUCCGGGCACCCUCAGAAAUGCCACCGCCCUCCAGGACCUGACUGAUAGAUGCAGGUCUUCUCGACUGACCUUUCCAGGAGAGUACGGGGGCUAAGCCUCCCAAAUAUCCCUCCCUCUGCCUGCAGAAGCUUCUUAUCUUCUCUGUGUGCCUGAUGGGCCUGGGCCGUUAAGCAUGGACCCUCAUUUGAAAGGGGCUGACAUAUCACAGUCAGGUAAAAACACCACCGGGGUCAUCAAAAAGCAGUGAUGAGGAUCUUUGAGAUGCUAAGUGGUGAGUCUGUGCCUCCUUAGGGGUGUUAGCUACAUGGAAGACAAGACCCAAAUAUUGCAAGACGGACCAAGGAUGACAGGUAAGAAGUGACAGGGAGACUGAGGCUCUGUUUCUACUUCAGCGAACAUUAAUGAGUGCCAGUAACUAGGAUAAACUGUAAGGCUAAAGAUGAGAGGCCCUCAGGAUGCUCACC
rnacentral:lncRNA from 1 species